UGUUUCAUACCACUCCAUAAGGACAUAUCGGUUUGAAAAGAAGGGAUUCCAGCUGUCGUUUGUCAAGUCGUUUCCUGAACUUGGCGUGGCUUUGGAACAACUUUGCUAAACACAGGGAAAGAGGGCAAAACAGAGGGAGUUGAAACAGUCCAGUGAAAGAGGACAAGGAUAACUCCAGUAUCAGUACUCAAAAUGGGUUGGUCUUGGGCUCUAGCGUGCUGGUGUGCAUUAGUGCUGGUGUGCUCGUCUGAAGGGGAGAUCACCAUGUACCCGGACACAGACUUUACACCUAGAGUUCGGCCAAGGGCUGGGCCUCGCUCGUUUUGGAAUUCCUACCCCAGUACCCUCUUCCCCCCCGGCCGACCCUCCCAUAAGAACCUCCAGGCCAUCUGUCUCCAUAGCAUCCAUCGUCCGCGGUUCCCUUUCUACUCCCUCCCCCUAAACGGUGGAAGUGACUUUCGUCGUCAAGCUGAAGCAGUCAACCGGGUAGAGUCCUGGUACAGCGCAUGUUGCCAUGGGAACGGGACACAGCAGGUCCAGGAAGUGACGCUGUGCUGCGUUACACAGGCGUGGGAACAGACCCUGUCCACAUUCUGUGCUGAGGAGUCCCGAGUGAAGACACGCCAACACCACUGCUGCCAGAUGGAGGGCGAGGACAGACUGAGCUGUUUCCAUAGGGAAAACCCAGACCCCACCUACCUGCCGACCACCCCCAUACCUGAACCUGGCUUCACCUUUAACCCCAACACUUGUCACAAGUCCCAGUCUGGUCCACAUGCUGUCAGAGGGGAGAAGCACAAGAAGUGGCCCCCAAGCUACUCCCAGAGACUCUGACAUCAGCUUCCCCCCUGGACGCCCCACUUUCGACAACAUCGGAUUGGUCUGCCGUCUACGCAAGCACCGCCCUCUCUAUACCCCCAAGUGCCUGCCACGUACAGGCUUUGGCUGGCUGGCCCGCCAAUCAAAGGCCGUGAACCGCCUGGAGAGAGGGUUCAAACACUGCUGUAAGGGUCAGGAGGAUGUGCUACCCUGUGCUGAGGGAAUGUGGCGUGAGGUGCUUGACAGGUUCUGUGAGGAAGAGCAGAAGGGGAGACCUCACAACUCCUCCUGUUGUGAUGUGGGAGAAGGUGAGGACAGGUAUACCUGUUUCUCCUCCCGCGCCCCUCAUCCAGACUAUGACCAAAAGCUUGACUCUGCCUCUGCCGUACCACAGACUAACACCCUCAGACACAUCUGUGAAACAUACAAGGUCAUCAAGAAGAACUUCCCUGUGGAUCUCCCUGUCCAGAACUUAGUGGACCAAUGCUGCUCCCUGCCAGCAGACCAGAGAACUGCAUGUGUUCAGAUACAGCUAGUGACGCUGGCAGAGAGCCGCUGUUCUGCAGAGAAGCCCUCCUCCCCUGCUGUCUUCCAGAAAUGCUGCCCUCCCUCCUCCCAGGACGCCCCUAUGUGCCUCUCUGGCCUGCUCAUGAAUGCCAUCACUAAGGCAACCAAGUCCCCACGCCUCAGAAAGAGGAAAUGCCCCCUCGCCUGAUUUUUGUGGUUGUUGACUUUUCACUCUGAUGGGAGUGGGCCAAUCUGAAUUGGCGGUCAGGGGAUUUGUGCAGUAGUCACUACAUGACCAUGAUAGAAUUGGCUAAUACAGAAGAACUGUUGAGCAAUUGCAUGAUUUAGUCAAACAGGGGUUAGGGUGUGGGUAAGAGUAAGCAGAAUUUAUAGUUAGUGCCAUUUAUUCCAUAUUUUCUAGCAUGGCCAGAUGACAACGAAUUAAUGUAUGGUAUCCGAGUGUACAUAAUAUUUCAGUAUUACUGUCAGUGUCUGUCAUUAAGAGGGUGUUAUAAUGUUAGAACACCUGGAGAGCUGACACAUCUGCUUUACAAAUUAAAUCACCAUUUGUAUGACCACUUAUUUUUAUACUCAUGUUUCAGAUUAGUUAGUUGUAUUUUCUUAUAGUUACAGAAUUGCUAGUCCAGUUCUCCUGUUCUAACAUUUGAAAUAAAUCUUUCUAUUUUCAAAAUGUUUCCUGCGCCAUGUCGGAAUCAUUUUGGAGUGAAGCACUGCCAGUUAUUGUAAUUUGUCAUUAUCUGACACCUGAACAACACUGAAAUUAUUAUUUGAAUAAACUGACAUGUUGAUGGAAGUGGA